rnacentral:rRNA from 1 species
AUUGAACGCUGGCGGCAUGCUUUACACAUGCAAGUCGGACGAGUGGCGAACGGGUGAGUAACAUAUCGGAACGUACAGAGUAAUGGGGGAUAACUAAUCGAAAGAUUAGCUAAUACCGAAUAUUAUUCGAGCGGCCGAUAUCGGAUUAGCUGGUGGGUGGGGUAAAGGCAUACCAAGGCCACGAUCAGUCGCGGGUCUGAGAGGAUGAUCCGCCCCACUGGGACUGAGACCCGGCCCAGACUCCUACGCGAGGCAGCAGUGGGUAAUUUUGGACAAUGGGCGCGAGCCUUCUCCAGCCAUGCCGCGUGUCUGAAGACGGCCUUCGGGUUGUAAAGGACUUUUGUCAGGGAAGCGGCACCUGCAGCAUAAGCACCUGCUAACUACGUGCCAGCCGCCGCGGUAAUAC